ACAAGAAUACCUGGAAGUCACAAGUCUGCUGUUCCUGCCACCAAAAAACCUUAUCGAAAUCCUGAACCAGCCAGAACAAACUUUCAAUCCUUUCCAAAUAGUCAGCAAGUGAUGUCAUCCAAGCUCCCUCAAUCUGCCAUCUACAAGGAUUCUUGACCUCAGAACGAUUCCUUGGGCAUCCCUAUGACGUUCCUACCGCUCAUCAUGGUACAAGGCUUUUGAAGCUAAGGCUCUUGCACACACAACAGAAAGAUAGGCUCAGGUUGCCUAUCAACAACACUCCCCAAAAUCCUCAAAAGGCCCAGGUUUAAGGUUUUCAAGUGUUGCUUCGUAUUUGCUGUGUCCUCAAUAUAUAUGGAAAUAGGUAAGCAGGUGAUGACAUCUAUCUUAUAGUAAUACGGUAAUUUUAGUGGAAAAUUACUUUAUGCUGAACUGUGUAUUUUGGGUAUGACACUCGAAUAUGUGUGUAUACAAGCAGAAGUCUUCCUCGUGACUAAAUUUUUUGAAAUAUGACCUUCACUUUGUUACUAUUAUUAUGUUUGAGAACAUGCUAGUAACAAUGUCAAGUUUAUUCAAUUCGAAAAACUUUAUUCUGUUGUAGAUCCUCGAAA